rnacentral:rRNA from 3 species
AGACCCGAAACCCGGUGAUCUAGCCAUGGGCAGGUUGAAGGUUGGGUAACACUAACUGGAGGACCGAACCGACUAAUGUUGAAAAAUUAGCGGAUGACCUGUGGCUGGGGGUGAAAGGCCAAUCAAACCGGGAGAUAGCUGGUUCUCCCCGAAAGCUAUUUAGGUAGCGCCUCGUGAAUUCAUCUCCGGGGGUAGAGCACUGUUUCGGCUAGGGGGCCAUCCCGGCUUACCAACCCGAUG